rnacentral:rRNA from 1 species
UGGGGAAUAUUGGACAAUGGGGGCAACCCUGAUCCAGCGAUGCCGCGUGAGUGAUGAAGGCCUUAGGGUUGUAAAGCUCUUUCGUCAGGGAAGAUAAUGACGGUACCUGAAGAAGAAGAUCCGGCUAACUCCGUGCCAGCAGCCGCGGUAAUACGGAGGGAUCUAGCGUUAUUCGGAAUUACUGGGCGUAAAGCGAGCGUAGGCGGAUUUGUAAGUUGGAGGUGAAAUCCCAGAGCUUAACUCUGGAACUGCCUUCAAAACUACAUUUCUUGAGUUUGGUAGAGGAGAGUGGAAUUCCUAGUGUAGAGGUGAAAUUCGUAGAUAUUAGGAGGAACACCAGUGGCGAAGGCGACUCUCUGGGCCAAUACUGACGCUGAGGUUCGAAAGCAUGGGUAGCGAACAGG